AAAACUUUCAACAACGGAUCUCUUGGUUCUGGCAUCGAUGAAGAACGCAGCGAAAUGCGAUAAGUAAUGUGAAUUGCAGAAUUCAGUGAAUCAUCGAAUCUUUGAACGCACAUUGGGCCCCUCGGUAUUCCGGGGGGCAUGCCUGUUCGAGCGUCAUU
rnacentral:rRNA from 1 species